UGAUUGGUCAUGUAAAUGGGAGGGAUAGGCCACCGUUGGCAACCGUACAUGAGGACAUAAGACAUUUUUGGGUGAGAAAUCUGCUUCCUUGAUAUGGCCAGCGAGUCAGUUUGGUUCGACCCUUGAUCCGGAGCAGAGACUAACUGCUCAUCACAUCCAAGCUCGUCGUGUGAUAGUGUCCUUAGAUUUGUACUGAAUCUGAACAUAGAAAGCACCCUAGGCAUUUUGUUUUGUUUUUCUUUGUAUUUCAGUGAAAUACAAUCAGUAAUUUGUAAGAAAAUGGUCGUCUUCAAUGAAAUGUUUGCCUUGACAUUUUGUGCAGUAUAAUUUCAAAAUCAUACAACAUUCUACGGAGUGCCAUCACGGUAGCUAAAAUUCCUCAUGCGAGUCUGUGCCGACAUUCACCUCUCCCAGACCCUGCGUAAAGCGGGAGCCUUGUGCACUGGGUACGACCUUUAUACAACAUUCUACGGAGUGCCGUCACGGUAGCUAAAAUUCCUCAUGCGAGUCUGGAAGCCCUCGCAUUAACAAUAAACGAACAGUCACAAGUGAAUAAAACGCAAGGAACUGUUGUCGCUAAAAGUAAAAGACCCAAAAUCAAUAAUAAUAUGAGAGUGUUCAUGAAAAGAGCUUGGGUUAAAUUUAAUUUAAUAAAAAAAUCAUGCUAUAAUUUUAUUUAAUGAAAAAAACUUAAAUUUUAAUGAAAAACCCUUAACUUUUAAUAAAGAGGACAAAAGAACUUAAAUUUUAAUAAAAAUGAC
rnacentral:lncRNA from 1 species